rnacentral:rRNA from 1 species
AGUGAACGCUGGCGGCAGGCCUAACACAUGCAAGUCGAGCGGCAGCGCGUCCGACCACCCUCGGGUGGUCGGAUGGCGGCGAGCGGCGGACGGGUGAGGAAUGCAUCGGAAUCUGCCUCGUUGUGGGGGAUAACGUAGGGAAACUUACGCUAAUACCGCAUACGACCUACGGGUGAAAGUGGGGGACCUUCGGGCCUCACGCGAUGAGAUGAGCCGAUGCCGGAUUAGCUAGUUGGCGGGGUAAAGGCCCACCAAGGCGACGAUCCGUAGCUGGUCUGAGAGGAUGAUCAGCCACACUGGGACUGAGACACGGCCCAGACUCCUACGGGAGGCAGCAGUGGGGAAUAUUGGACAAUGGGCGCAAGCCUGAUCCAGCAAUGCCGCGUGUGUGAAGAAGGCCUGCGGGUUGUAAAGCACUUUUGUUCGGGAAGAAAUCAUGUCGGUUAAUACCCGAUGUGGAUGACGGUACCGAAAGAAUAAGCACCGGCUAACUUCG